rnacentral:lncRNA from 12 species
GGGGGGGGGGGGGGGGGGGGGGGGGGGGGGGGGGGGGGGGGGGGGGGGGGGGGGGGGGGGGGGGGGGCGCCCGGGCGGCGGGGGCGGGCGGCGAAGUUUCUUCCCUUCCCUCUGGCUUCGGAGGCUUUCGUAUUAGAGAUGGAAAGAAAUUUUGCAGACCUGUGGCCAGUUGAAGACUUCCAGCUUUUUAGAUAGGAACCAACAUCACUCAAGAAACCACUAUCAACUAGAAUAGGUGUCCAUGGCAG